UAGAAUAUAGCUUAAACCCAAAGCACUUCGCUUACACCGAACCUACGCCCGUUAAAACCGGACUAUUCUUACUAAG
rnacentral:tRNA from 1 species